rnacentral:rRNA from 1 species
AUCAGUCGCCCUGACGACAUCAACAUCCCUGAUGGCAAGUUCUACCUAGGAGAUGUUGGCUAUGCAUGUCGUCAAGGUGUUCUUUCACCCUUCAGGAAAACCAGGUACCAUUUGAACGAGUUCUUUGGUAGGAACUACCCUAGGACUCCACAGGAGCUGUUCAAUCCCAGACACUCCACCUUAAGAGUAACGGUUGCGAGGGCAUUUGGAGCUCUCGAUAAGAGGUUCAAGAUUCUGGAUCAGAAGCCAUUCCACCCCUACCCUACCCAGGUUAAGCUUGUUCUAGCAUGUUGCAUUCUGCAUAACUGGAUCCUGCAAUGGGGUGUUGAUGAACUGGUGCCUGAAGAGGAAGAGGUGACGCCUGACGAUCUUGACCUCGGUGGCCAUGGUGUUGAGGCAUUUGACAACGAAGCCUGGAAGAACAAAAGGCUGGAGUGGGCACAUACAAUGUGGGAUAACAGAGGUUAG